rnacentral:lncRNA from 1 species
AGAGAAAAAAAAAGGGGGGGAGGGAGUCAUCUUUUCACAACUUGUGUCUUCAUCUACUGACCUUAACAUUAGCAACAGAAAAGCAGGGGCAUGCAUGCGCUCAUUCACUUGCCUGCAGGUCGGAGAAGGCAAAGGAAACGAGACUCCCAGGGACACUGCACCUCCGUACGGCUCCACGCGCAGAGAUAACGCUUUAAAGGAGAAGAGAAAAACAAGCUGACGAAACCUACCCACAACUCUACCACGUCUCUGCCUGGAGACCCGCAGCCCUGUGGUGCUGUUCAACAGCCCAGCACAGAACCAGACACCAAAAGUUUCUCAGCACAGCACAUUAUUUCCCAGCUCCGCCACUGCCUCACUGCGUGACCUUGGGCAAGCCGCUUCCCCCGCAUCUCGGCUACCCACCUGACGAGCCCGCUGCAGAGCUCCGAGGACGAAAAACCCCGUAAUUACUCACAACAGGCGACUCUGCGCCGAAGAAGCUGAAAUGGGCGGAGGGGAGGGACUCUCUCUCUCACAGGGUUCUCCACAUGGGAUGUGAGGAGGCUGGUCGUGGUAUUGCGUGGAGCAUUGUGCCUCAAGCCACUUGAACGGGCAUAAAGCAGCGCUAAGAUCUUUCUCUGUGUGUUUGGACUUCAUGGACGUCUCCUGUGGUGAAGCUGUUCCAGAAGAAUCGAGAGUCUCCCUAUUAAAGUCCUAGCUUUUCACGAAAAAGGUACUGAAGAUACACAUACGGAGACACUCUUCACUUUACUGCUUUGCGUACUAUCAGCAUAUAUAGAGGUCAAACAGAGGAUGGUAGAAAAUGGAACAAUCCACAGGCAAACAGCUGGAUGCUGAAACAUUGAGAAAAGAACUGUUUUUUUUCAGUCGUGCAAGAAGUUUUGGCAGAGUCCAAAAGCAUAUGCAGAGUGCCAUCAGAUGCUCAGACGCACCCCACAAUGGUCAGCUGGGAAAGAAUUCCAUAAUUCUUGAUCAACACUCAAACAAUUUAAGAAGAUUUUGGAAAAUCUGA